rnacentral:rRNA from 1 species
ACACGACUACAUUAGAUACCCCUGUAGUCCAGGGUGUAAACGCUGCGGGCUUGGUGUUGGGGGUCCUUUGAGGGCGCCCAGUGCCGGAGAGAAGUUGUUAAGCCUGCUGCUUGGGGAGUACGUCCGCAAGGAUGAAACUUAAAGGAAUUGGCGGGGGAGCACCGCAACGGGAGGAGCGUGCGGUUCAAUUGGAUUCAACGCCGGACAACUCACCAGGGAAGACUGUUACAUGAAGGCCGAGAUGAAGACUCUGCUAGAUUUUCAG